rnacentral:misc_RNA from 1 species
AAAGUCGUAACAAGGUUUCCGUAGGUGAACCUGCGGAAGGAUCAUUAACACGUUCGAAACGUAUCAACCAAACGGUUAAGUGCAAACUUAUUCCCUAUCUGGGAAAACUGUUCAAUAUUCUUUAGUGAUGGGUAAGUCUUCGGAUUUGCAGAGAGUAUUGAACUAGGGUUUUGAACCCAAAGUUUUCCUUUUUAGGCUUUUUCAACCCCUUUUUUCCAUCACUUCCAACUAACCAUUUUCACCCCUUUGAAACUUAUGACUAAAUCUUUCGAACGAAGAAAUUUGUUUGGAAUUGUAUAUCUAACACUGUACAACUCUUAGCAAUGGAUAUCUUGGUUCUC